rnacentral:rRNA from 1 species
UACGUAGGGUGCAAGCGUUAAUCGGAAUUACUGGGCGUAAAGCGUGCGCAGGCGGUUUUGUAAGCCGGGUGUGAAAUCCCCGGGCUUAACCUGGGAAUGGCAUUCGGGACUGCAAGGCUGGAGUGCGGCAGAGGAGACUGGAAUUCCUGGUGUAGCAGUGAAAUGCGUAGAUAUCAGGAGGAACACCGAUGGCGAAGGCAGGUCGCUGGGCUGACACUGACGCUCAUGCACGAAAGCGUGGGGAGCAAACAGG